UACAGAGGGGGCAAGCGUUGUUCGGAAUUACUGGGCGUAAAGGGCGCGUAGGCGGCCCGCUAAGUCGAACGUGAAAUCCCCGAGCUCAACUCGGGAACUGCGUCCGAUACUGGCGGGCUUGAAUCCGGGAGAGGGAUGCGGAAUUCCAGGUGUAGCGGUGAAAUGCGUAGAUAUCUGGAGGAACACCGGUGGCGAAGGCGGCAUCCUGGACCGACAUUGACGCUGAGGAGCGAAAGCUAGGGGAGCAAACGGG
rnacentral:rRNA from 1 species